rnacentral:rRNA from 1 species
AUUGAACGCUGGCGGCAUGCCUUACACAUGCAAGUCGAACGGUAACAGGUCUUCGGAUGCUGACGAGUGGCGAACGGGUGAGUAAUACAUCGGAACGUGCCUAGUAGUGGGGGAUAACUACUCGAAAGAGUGGCUAAUACCGCAUGAGAUCUACGGAUGAAAGCAGGGGAUCGCAAGCCCUUGUGUUACUAGAGCGGCCGAUGGCAGAUUAGGGAGUGGGUGGGAUAAAAGCUUACCAAGCCGACGAUCUGUAGCUGGUCUGGGAGGACGAUCAGCCAGACUGGGACUGAGACACGGCCAAGAGUCCUACGGGAGGCAGCAGUCGGAAAUUUUGGACAAGGGGCGAAAGCCUGAUCCAGCAAUGCCGCGUGCAGGAUGAAGGCCUUCGGGUUGUAAACUGCUUUUGUACGGAACGAAAAGCCCCGGGUUAAUACCCUGGGGUCAUGACGGUACCGUAAGAAUAAGCACCGGCUAACUACGUGCCAGCCGCCGCCGUAA